GUCAGGCUUGGGAGUCGGGAGAGGUAUGAGGACGUUCAGGGGUAGGGGGUAAAAGUACCUGUAAGUCCUUGGAGGACCACCGGUGGCGAAGGCGUCAUACUAGAACGAAGUCCGACGGUGAGGGACGAAGCCCUAGGUCGCAAACGGGAUUAGAUACCCCGGUAGUCUAGGGUGUAAACGCUGCAGACUUGGUGUUGGGGGCCCUUCGGGGGCAUUCAGUGCCGGAGAGAAGUUGUUAAGUCUGCUACUUGGGGAGUACGUCCGCAAGGAUGAAACUUAAAGGAAUUGGCGGGGGAGCACCGCAAACCGGGAGGAGCGUGCGGUUUAAUUGGAUUCAACACCGGAAAACUCACCAAGGGAGACCAUCACAUGAAAGCCAGGCUAAUGACUUUGCUUGAUUCUUGGAGAAGAGGUGCAUGG
rnacentral:rRNA from 1 species